rnacentral:rRNA from 1 species
GCCCGUCACACCAUGGGAGUGGGUUGCAAAAGAAGUAGGUAGCUUAACCUUCGGGAGGGCGCUUACCACUUUGUGAUUCAUGACUGGGGUGAAGUCGUAACAAGGUAACCGUAGGGGAACCUGCGGUGGUGGUGUGCGACUCU